rnacentral:rRNA from 1 species
UACGUAGGGUGCGAGCGUUGCCCAGAUUUAUUGGGCGUAAAGGGCGCGCAGGCGGCCACGCACGUCCGUUGUGAAAUCGCCCGGCUCAACUGGGCGGGGUCAGCGGAUACGGCGUGGCUGGAGCAAGCUAGGGGGCAAUGGAAUUCCCGGUGUAGUGGUGGAAUGCGUAGAUAUCGGGAGGAACACCAGUGGCGAAGGCGGUUGCCUGGAGCUUUGCUGACGCUGAGGCGCGAAAGCCAGGGGAGCGAACGGG